AGAAAGAAGACCCUUUAAUUGAUUUUGUUCCAGACCCAACUGGCUCUCCGUUGUCAAGAGUUGUGCUGUUGCGGCCUCCAACUCAGGAGCAUAGUCAUUCCUAGAAAAGAAUGAUGACUGUAGAUCUGAAACUGGGUUGCAGUCCAUGAGCUGGCAGAGGCGGCCAUGCUCUUGGGAGAAACAGCAGAGGCCUCGGGCUUCAGGCCGAAGCCAGCAGAGUCCCAGCCAGUGGGAAUGUCCCCGGAGGAAGAAUUUGGGGGUGUACAGCAGGGCCUACAGGAACCGCUGAGCGGGAGCAGGCCCACAGAGACGGAGCCCGUGUGUGAGAGUGCUGUGCCUGCUCACCAGAAUCUAGCCUUUCCUGUAGUGUCAAACACCAAAGACUGGACAGUGACACCUGAGCUCAUCUUGCCUGAGGCCCAGAGCUUGUUGACAUUUGAAGAAGUAGCCAUAUAUUUUUCCCAGGAGGAAUGGGAGCUACUAGAUCCCACUCAGAAGGCCCUCUACAAUGAUGUAAUGCAUGAAAACUAUGAGACUGUCAUCUCUCUAGCAUUGUUUGUGUUCCCCAAACCUAAAGUGAUCUCCUGCUUAGAGCGUGAGGAAGUGCCGUGGAUUCAAGGGUCCCCACAGUUCAAGGACGAUAGCAGAGAUGUGCUUCCAGAGAUAAUGCUGAAAAAUGACCCUGAAGAUCAUCAAGCUAUGUAUCUUUCUGACUUAGAAAUACAAGCACCAGGAAAUGCAGUAUCAAAAAAAGCUAGAGCAGAUGUUCCCCAGAAAACAGCGGGCAGAGAAACUCAUGGUGAUGUACAUAGGUUGGGGAAAUGGCACCAAGAUUUUCCAGUGAAGGAAGGAAAGAAUCUCUCAAACUGGUGGGAAGAAGAGCUGCUGAAACUUAUGGAGCUUCACAAGAAGGAACGUGCAGGGGAGAAGCCUUUUAAAUGCCAGGAAUGUGGGAAAAGCUUCAGAGUUAGCUCUGACCUUAUUAAACACCAAAGAAUUCACACCGAAGAAAAACCGUAUAAAUGUCAGUAGUGUGAUAAGAGGUUUAGGUGGAGGUCAGAUCUUAAUAAGCACCUAACAACACACCAAGGAAUAAAACCAUAUAAGUGCUCAUGGUGUGGGAAAAGCUUCAGUCAAAAUUCACAUCUCCACACACACCAGAGAACUCACACUGGAGAGAAGCCCUUUACAUGUCACGAAUGUGGGAAGAAAUUUAGUCAGAAUUCGCACCUUAUUAAACACCGGAGGACCCACCUGUAGCCCUGCAGGAGGAGCUUCAUUGUGUUCUCAGGACUUCUUCGAUGGCAGAAACUUUGACAGCAGUGAAGGACGCAUGACCAGUGGCCUGAGACUGAAUAGAUAAUGAAACAGUUGACACUAAAGUUAUGAAAAACACAAAGUUACAAAGCAUGAAGAAUUUACACCAGUGGGAAAUUUGGUGAUAGAAGCAUGUUUCACAAAAAAGAAUCAGGGUUGACUGUGGCGGGGAAAGAUAACAACUCUAAAACCUGGAUGGAGUAGAUCUGUGACAGCAGCAGGGAUCUGGAGGAGAGCACCAGAACUCAAAGUACCAUGGGACUAAUGACUUACAGAAAAGCUGGAAGCAUGAUGUAAAGGACUUUGACCUGCUAGAUCGUCUGAGAGGAAGCAGACAAAACAACACGCUAUCUCCCCCAAAUAUCCAUUGAAGCCAAGACGAGAUGAGCAGCAGGACGGUGAGGAGGAUGGAGCAGAUGGUGGUGAAAGCGGGGAAUCGUCCAAAAUGAAGUCGGUGAUGAGCCGAGCAGGGUCUAGCCCAGGACCCCAGAAGCGCUGGGCCGCUCCUAAGCUGACUGGUAAGGCAGCCCCUGAGAGAAGGGGCAGAGAUGAGGUAAAGAGGAAAGCACGUGCAGCAGGAGGCCUGCAGGGCCCAGCUCUGGUAUUGGCUGUGACCACCCAUCCACCACCUCGGGCUGAGGAACCACAACAGGUGUGUGAAAAGGGUGACGGUCUCUAGGCCUUGACCAGUUUCUCUGGGUUGUGUAUGUGUUUGAUCCAUUCUAUGGAGGUGGUUAGGAAUCCUUGGGGGGAAAAUAGGUCCAUUGAAAAAUUGUAUCAAUUAGCUAUAAUGUUUCAGUGAUGAAGGGAGGUUUACACACCCAUGGACAGCCCCAAGGUUAAAUGUACAGGGGAAGACUGCCUUUUAAUAGAUGCCUGAAGGACUGCAAUAAACCAGAGGUCUAA
rnacentral:lncRNA from 1 species